rfam:Pseudoalteromonas atlantica T6c, complete genome.
CGGUGAGUAGCGCAGCUUGGUAGCGCACUUGGUUUGGGUCCAAGGGGUCGCAGGUUCGAAUCCUGUCUCACCGA